CCUACGGGCGGCAGCAGUGAGGAAUAUUGGUCAAUGGGCGCGAGCCUGAACCAGCCAAGUCGCGUGAGGGAAGACGGUCCUAUGGAUUGUAAACCUCUUUUGUCGGGGAGCAAAAGACGCCACGCGUGGCGUUCCGAGAGUACCCGAAGAAAAAGCAUCGGCUAACUCCGUGCCAGCAGCCGCGGUAAUACGGAGGAUGCGAGCGUUAUCCGGAUUUAUUGGGUUUAAAGGGUGCGUAGGCGGAUUUUUAAGUCAGCGGUAAAAUGUCCGGGCUCAACCCGGGCCGGCCGUUGAAACUGGGGAUCUUGAGUGGGCGAGAAGUAUGCGGAAUGCGUGGUGUAGCGGUGAAAUGCUUAGAUAUCACGAAGAACCCCGAUUGCGAAGGCAGCUUACUAAACUGUGACUGACAUUGAUGCUCGAAAGUGUGGGUAUCAAACAGGAUUAGAUACCCUUGUAGUC
rnacentral:rRNA from 1 species